AUGGAUGGAAGGUCUGCCACCGCUUGUUUUUUGGUGAUGCUUGUGUUGUUCGGAAGCACUACAUCUGCAGAGAAAUGUUUGACUUCUGGGUUUUAUCGGCUGUUGUUUUGUACCAAGGGUAUUUGCAAGUCUGUAUGCGUGGGUCGUUUCGGUUACCCUGGGCAGGAGAUCCGCGAACAUUGGUGCAGUAAUUUUUUCUUUGCCAAGUGCACCUGCAAGUCUCAGCUGCAUCCGAUAUCACAUCCGUCCACACACGUUGGGAUGUACUCCUUCAGUUUGUAUUUGCAGCUGUAUUCAGAAGGUGUGGUCUUCCACCCGGCCGAAACAGACCCUGGUACACGGCCUAGUUAUUUUUCUGUUCCAUCCGGAGCCGUCGGGCUUGGCAUAAUGGCCAUCCCCUCAAAAGAGGAAAAGGAAGGCAUAAACGGCCACCAACCUAGGCCACUCCCCCCCCGAUCCUGCCGCGUCUUCUUUCGAUUCCUCACCAUGUCCGCAUCAUCGUCCUUGCAUCGUCUGCGUCGGUACUUGUUGAACAACAACAGUCCGCGUCGUCUUCUAUCAGAGUUGUUUGCAUGCUGGGCGUAUUACAGCAAUCUCCUGCAGCCGGAGAAUUUUCAAUGA
rnacentral:rRNA from 1 species